AUGCUAUUGCUGUGUGUUCUCCUGUGUCUGGUGACAGUUCCCCAAGGCGUCCUGUCCCAGGUGCAGCUUCAGGAGUCAGGCCCAGGAUUGGUGAAACCCUCCCAGACGCUUUCUCUCACCUGCACCGUCUCUAGUUUCUCCAUCACAAGCAGUGGUUACUAUUGGAACUGGAUCCGCCAGACCUCGGGGAAGGGGCUGCAGUGGAUGGGAUACAUAGGUUACGAUGGUGGUACAUAUUAUAACCCGUCCUUCCAAAGCCGACUCUCCAUCACCAGAGACACAUCGAAGAAUCAGUUCUCCCUGCAGCUGAGCUCCGUGACUGCUGAGGACACGGCCGUGUAUUACUGUGCAAGGAGCACAAUGUAUGAAAAGGUUCAGGUUGACCUGGUCUUGAUUCCAAACAUGGUGAGGAUAGAGAUGGUCUUUAAUUUCAAUAGAUCAUUUGGGUACUUUUGA